rnacentral:rRNA from 1 species
UACGAAGGGGGCUAGCGUUGCUCGGAAUCACUGGGCGUAAAGCGCACGUAGGCGGAUUGCUAAGUCAGGGGUGAAAUCCUGGAGCUCAACUCCAGAACUGCCUUUGAUACUGGCGAUCUUGAGUCCGGGAGAGGUGAGUGGAACUGCGAGUGUAGAGGUGAAAAUUCGUAGAUAUUCGCAAGAACACCAGUGGCGAAGGCGGCUCACUGGCCCGAUACUGACGCUGAGGCACGAAAGCGUGGGGAGCAAACAGG